UGUGGGAGCGGGCUUGCUCGCGAAAGCGCUGGCUCAGGUAUGAAGGUGGCGACUGACACUCCGCUUUCGCGAGCAAGCCCGCUCCCACA
rnacentral:antisense_RNA from 1 species